GUGUGUGCCAAAGACUCACUCUCGUUGCUGGCAGAAAGGAAAACACAAAUGGAGUCAGUGUACUUACUGAGUUCACCCAAAUUAAUUCUGAUAUAUUUUGGUAUGAGAUCAAACCCAGGUGUCAAACGUCUGACAGAAUUAAAAUGUUUCCAGUUAGCUCAGCUGCAUUUUGGAACACUAACUCUGAGAUGUAAUGAUGACAUAAUGAUACCAUUCUUAACAGUUUCAUUUUGGAUUGUUUUAAAGAGGGAAAGAGUUGGGUGGACUUACAAGCAUCGGAAGAUGACCGGAAGAAAAAAUGAAAAAUAUCAAAGACAUAGAACAUCAUGAGAGCAAGAUUGCAUCAGUUUAGGAUGGCAGAGGUCUUACAAGCAUGAAAAUUGAAAUGUAAAUGAGUGGUUCUCCCAGCUGAAAGAAGAGAACAUUUACUACUGUACUGCUGACAACAGACCUGUGGGAACAUCCCUGCAGGAAUUAAAAAGACAGUUCACAGCAGAACAAAUGAGAGAGACAAGAAAAACAAGGUUCAGAGAUAAGAAUAAGAAUCCUGUUAAGUGAUUUAAAUUUAAAAAUCUGAAGCUGAGUGAGCAAUAAAAAUGAAUUUCUUCAUUUCCCCCCUUUGCA
rnacentral:lncRNA from 1 species